UAGGGAAUCUUCGGCAAUGGACGAAAGUCUGACCGAGCAACGCCGCGUGAGUGAAGAAGGUUUUUGGAUCGUAAAACUCUGUUGUUAGAGAAGAACAAGGACGUUAGUAACUGAACGUCCCCUGACGGUAUCUAACCAGAAAGCCACGGCUAACUACGUGCCAGCAGCCGCGGUAAUACGUAGGUGGCAAGCGUUGUCCGGAUUUAUUGGGCGUAAAGCGAGCGCAGGCGGUUUCUUAAGUCUGAUGUGAAAGCCCCCGGCUCAACCGGGGAGGGUCAUUGGAAACUGGGAGACUUGAGUGCAGAAGAGGAGAGUGGAAUUCCAUGUGUAGCGGUGAAAUGCGUAGAUAUAUGGAGGAACACCAGUGGCGAAGGCGGCUCUCUGGUCUGUAACAGACGCUGAGGCUCGAAAGCGUGGGGAGCAAACAGG
rnacentral:rRNA from 1 species